CAGAAAAUAGUAUAAGUGAGUAUGUAAAUUUUGGGGAUUUAUGGUGGGGGAUCUUUUCUGA
rnacentral:tRNA from 1 species